GGCGAACGCUGGCGGCAUGCCUAACACAUGCAAGUCGAGCGAGCAGAUCCCUUCGGGGUGGAGCUAGCGGCGGACGGGUGAGUAACACGUGGCAACCUGCCUCAUAGAGGGGAAUAGCCUUCCGAAAGGAAGAUUAAUACCGCAUAAGAUUGUGGCUUCGCAUGAAGCAGCAAUUAAAGGAGCAAUCCGCUAUGAGAUGGGCCCGCGGCGCAUUAGCUAGUUGGUUAGGUAACGGCUCACCAAGGCGACGAUGCGUAGCCGACCUGAGAGGGUGAUCGGCCACAUUGGGACUGAGACACGGCCCAGACUCCUACGGGAGGCAGCAGUGGGGAAUAUUGCACAAUGGGGGAAACCCUGAUGCAGCAAUGCCGCGUGAGUGAUGACGGCCUUCGGGUUAUAAAGCUCUGUCUUCGGGGACGAUAAUGACGGUACCCGAGGAGGAAGCCACGGCUAACUACGUGCCAGCAGCCGCCGUAA
rnacentral:rRNA from 1 species